CUUUUUCACUUUAAUAAAACUCUGCUACACAAAAGCUCUUGAGUGAUUAAGCCUGGUUCCUGGUCCUGAAGCUACAUCUUCUUCUUCAGAGAUCACGAAUCCAACACUGUUCACGAUGAAUGACCUAGGAGGCAUCACUUAACUACUGGGUGUCUCCAUUAAAUCAACUGCAAACUAGGGCUACAGAAGAAGAAUUUCAAAGUGUUGUGGAAACAUCCAAUCAACCUCAAGGUCCAUCAACAAAGGAAUGGUAAAAGAAGAUGGGGUACAUGUGUACAAUGGACUACUUACUCAGCCAUAAAAAGGAUGAAAUAAUGCCAUGUGCAGCAACAUUGAUGUACCUAGAGAUACUAAGUGAAUUAAACUAGAGAAAAACAAA